rnacentral:rRNA from 1 species
GACGAACGCUGGCGGCGUGCUUAACACAUGCAAGUCGAACGGAAAGGCCCUGCUUUUGUGGGGUGCUCGAGUGGCGAACGGGUGAGUAACACGUGAGUAACCUGCCCUUGACUUUGGGAUAACUUCAGGAAACUGGGGCUAAUACCGGAUAGGAGCUCCUGCUGCAUGGUGGGGGUUGGAAAGUUUCGGCGGUUGGGGAUGGACUCGCGGCUUAUCAGCUUGUUGGUGGGGUAGUGGCUUACCAAGGCUUUGACGGGUAGCCGGCCUGAGAGGGUGACCGGCCACAUUGGGACUGCGAUAGGGCCCAGACUCCUACGGGAGGCAGCAGUGGGGAAUAUUGCACAAUGGGCGGAAGCCUGAUGCAGCAACGCCGCGUGCGGAAUGACGGCCUUCGGGUUGUAAACCGCUUUCGCCUGUGACGAAGCGUGAGUGACGGUAAUGGGUAAAGAAGCACCGGCUAACUACGUG